rnacentral:rRNA from 1 species
UACGUAGGUGGCAAGCGUUGUCCGGAUUUACUGGGCGUAAAGGGAGCGUAGGCGGAUACUUAAGUGGGAUGUGAAAUACCUGGGCUUAACUUGGGUGCUGCAUUCCAAACUGGGUGUCUAGAGUGUUGGAGAGGAAAGUGGAAUUCCUAGUGUAGCGGUGAAAUGCGUAGAGAUUAGGAAGAACACCAGUGGCGAAGGCGACUUUCUGGACAAUAACUGACGCUGAGGCUCGAAAGCGUGGGGAGCAAACAGGAUUAGAUACCCUGGUAGUCCACGCCGUAAACGAUGGGGACUAGGUGUAGGAGGGAUCGAAUCCUCCGGUGCCGCCGUUAACACAAUAAGUACCCCGCCUGGGGAGUACGGUCGCAAGAUUAAA